GACGAACGCUGGCGGCGUGCUUAACACAUGCAAGUCGAACGAUGAAGCAGAGAGACGCGGACUUCGGUUCAAAUUUCACUUCGGAUUAGUGGCAGACGGGUGAGUAACGCGUUAUCAACCUACCUCUUACAAAGGGAUAUCCUCGGGAAACCGUGAUUAAUACCAUAUGACACAUUCAUAAGUCAUCUUAAGACUGUUAAAGCUACGGCGGUAAGAGAUGGGCUCGCGUCCCAUUAGCUAGCUGGUGAGGUCACGGCCCCGCAAGGCGACGAUGGGUAACCGGGCUGAGAGGGUGAACGGUCACAUUGGAACUGAGACACGGUCCAAACUCGUACGGGAGGCAGCAGUGGGGAAUCCUGCAAAAUGGAGGGAACUCUGAUGCAGCGACGCUGCGUGAGCGAUGAAGGAAUUCGUUACGUAAAGCUCUGUUAUAUGGGAAGAAAAGGACUGUACCAUAGGAGAAAGCCCCGGCUAAAUACGUG
rnacentral:rRNA from 1 species